rnacentral:RNase_P_RNA from 1 species
AGAGUCAGCGCGGCGGUUGCGGAUUUAGUUUUUCUAAAUCUGAGGAAAGUCCGGACUCCCAAAAACCCAGACUUGCUGGAUAACGCCCAGUGCGCGUGAGCGUGAGGAUAGUGCCACAGAAAGAUACCGCCAACUCCGUUGGUAAGGGUGCAAAGGUGCGGUAAGAGCGCACCAGCAAUAUCGAGAGGUAUUGGCUCGGUAAACCCCGGUUGGGAGCAAGGUCAGACGAAACAAAGGUUGGGUUUUUUCCUGUUUCGGCGAAUUGUUUGCGGACAUGUCUGCGGACGAUUGUGAACCGCUUGAGGUUGAAGGUAACUUCAAUCCCAGAUAGAUAACUGCCCUCUCUAUAUCUUUGAUAUGAAGAGAACAGAAUCCGGCUUAUGUCUAACUCUUCUC